rnacentral:rRNA from 1 species
UACGAAGGGGGCUAGCGUUGCUCGGAAUCACUGGGCGUAAAGCGCACGUAGGCGGGUCUUUAAGUCAGGGGUGAAAUCCUGGAGCUCAACUCCAGAACUGCCUUUGAUACUGAGGAUCUCGAGUCCGGGAGAGGUGAGUGGAACUCCGAGUGUAGAGGUGAAAUUCGUAGAUAUUCGCAAGAACACCAGUGGCGAAGGCGGCUCACUGGCCCGAUACUGACGCUGAGGCACGGAAAGCGUGGGGAGCAAACAGGG